rnacentral:rRNA from 1 species
UACGUAUGGGGCAAGCGUUAUCCGGAUUUACUGGGUGUAAAGGGCGUGUAGGCGGGAAAGCAAGUCAGAUGUGAAAACCAUGGGCUCAACCUGUGGCCUGCAUUUGAAACUGUUUUUCUUGAGUACUGGAGAGGCAGACGGAAUUCCUAGUGUAGCGGUGAAAUGCGUAGAUAUUAGGAGGAACACCAGUGGCGAAGGCGGCUUACUGGACGAUGACUGACGCUGAGGCACGAAAGCGUGGGUAUCGAACAGG